CCUACGGGGGGCUGCAGUGGGGAAUAUUGGACAAUGGGGGGAACCCUGAUCCAGCCAUGCCGCGUGUGUGAAGAAGGCCCUCGGGUUGUAAAGCACUUUCAGUGAGGAAGAACGCCUGGUGGUUAAUACCCAUCAGGAAAGACAUCACUCACAGAAGAAGCACCGGCUAACUCCGUGCCAGCAGCCGCGGUAAUACGGAGGGUGCGAGCGUUAAUCGGAAUUACUGGGCGUAAAGCGCGCGUAGGUGGCUUGAUAAGCCGGUUGUGAAAGCCCCGGGCUCAACCUGGGAACGGCAUCCGGAACUGUCAAGCUAGAGUGCAGGAGAGGAAGGUAGAAUUCCCGGUGUAGCGGUGAAAUGCGUAGAGAUCGGGAGGAAUACCAGUGGCGAGGGCGGCCUUCUGGACUGACACUGACACUGAGGUGCGAAAGCGUGGGUAGCAAACAGGAUUAGAUACCCCUGUAGUC
rnacentral:rRNA from 1 species